rnacentral:rRNA from 1 species
CCAGACUCCUACGGGAGGCAGCAGUGGGGGAUAUUGCACAAUGGGGGAAACCCUGAUGCAGCGACGCCGCGUGGGCGAAGAAGUAUUUCGGUAUGUAAAGCCCUAUCAGCAGGGAAGAAGAAAUGACGGUACCUGAGUAAGAAGCACCGGCUAAAUACGUGCCAGCAGCCGCGGUAAUACGUAUGGUGCAAGCGUUAUCCGGAUUCACUGGGUGUAAAGGGAGCGUAGACGGCCAUGCAAGCCAGGGGUGAAAGCCCGGGGCCCAACCCCGGGACUGCCCUUGGAACUGCAUGGCUGGAGUGCGGGAGGGGCAGGCGGAAUUCCUGGUGUAGCGGUGAAAUGCGUAGAUAUCAGGAGGAACACCGGCGGCGAAGGCGGCCUGCUGGACCGCGACUGACGUUGAGGCUCGAAAGCGUGGGGAGCGAACAGGAUUAGAUACCCCUGUA